UACAGAGGGGGCAAGCGUUGUUUGGAAUUACUGGGCGUAAAGGGCGCGUAGGCGGCCUUCUAAGUCGAACGUGAAAUCCCCGGGCUCAACCCGGGAACUGCGUCCGAUACUGGAAGGCUUGAAUCCGGGAGAGGGAUGCGGAAUUCCAGGUGUAGCGGUGAAAUGCGUAGAUAUCUGGAGGAACACCGGUGGCGAAGGCGGCAUCCUGGACCGGCAUUGACGCUGAGGCGCGAAAGCCAGGGGAGCAAACGGG
rnacentral:rRNA from 1 species